rnacentral:rRNA from 1 species
CCUACGGGUGGCAGCAGUGAGGAAUAUUGGUCAAUGGGCGUAAGCCUGAACCAGCCAAGUCGCGUGAGUGAUGAAGGUUCUAUGGAUCGUAAACCUCUUUUAUAAGGGAAUAAAGUGUGGGACGUGUCCUGUUUGGUAUGUCCCUUAUGAAUAAGGAUCGGCUAACUCCGUGCCAGCAGCCGCGGUAAUACGGAGGAUCCGAGCGUUAUCCGGAUUUAUUGGGUUUAAAGGGUGCGUAGGCGGCCUUUUAAGUCAGCGGUGAAAGGCUGUGGCUCAACCAUAGAAUUGCCGUUGAAACUGGGCGGCUUGAGUAUGUUUGAGGUAGGCGGAAUGCGUGGUGUAGCGGUGAAAUGCUUAGAUAUCACGCAGAACCCCGAUUGCGAAGGCAGCCUGC